ACUUCGGAAAGUCAUAUCGGUCUUUUGGCUCGCAAUAAAGCUAGGGUCCUGAUCGAGCAAGACGUAGUCCUAUCUAU